rnacentral:rRNA from 1 species
AGACCCGAAACCCGGUGAUCUAGCCAUGGGCAGGUUGAAGGUUGGGUAACACUAACUGGAGGACCGAACCGACUAAUGUUGAAAAAUUAGCGGAUGACCUGUGGCUGGGGGUGAAAGGCCAAUCAAACCGGGAGAUAGCUGGUUCUCCCCGAAAGCUAUUUAGGUAGCGCCUCGUGAAUUCAUCUCCGGGGGUAGAGCACUGUUUCGGCUAGGGGGCCAUCCCGGCUUACCAACCCGAUGCAAACUGCGAAUACCGGAGAAUGUUAUCACGGGAGACACACGGCGGGUGCUAACGUCCGUCGUGAAGAGGGAAACAACCCAGACCGCCAGCUAAGGUCCCAAAGUCAUGGUUAAGUGGGAAACGAUGUGGGAAGGCCCAGACAGCCAGGAUGUUGGCUUAGAAGCAGCCAUCAUUUAAAGAAAGCGUAAUAGCUCACUGGUCGAGUCGGCCUGCGCGGAAGAUGUAACGGGGCUAAACCAUGCACCGAAGCUGCGGCAGCGACGCUGAUGCGUUGUUGGGUAGGGGAGCGUUCUGUAAGCCUGCGAAGGUGGCCUGUGAGG